AAAAUAUAAUUUGACUUAUUUAAAAUAAAUUAAUUUAAAAUUAAGAAGAUUUGGUUCUUAUUCAGUUAUUCGAUUGUUGCUCUAGAAUUGAGAACAGAACCGAACUCGUUGAUUUUCGAUUUAAAUACCCAUUUGGAUAUUUAAUUAAGAAGAAUCGCUCAAUUUGGUUUGGGUCCGACUAGCUGGUUCGGGAGUUUUGUUCAACCUUAGUUACAAGGGUUGAAGCCAACGUUACUAAUGGUGAUGGUGCAAACAAUAUUUGCUGGAGUCGAUAUUGUUUAUAAACUGGCUGCAAAUGAUGGAAUGAAGUUGUCCACUUUGGUGGGCUAUUGAUUCAUGUUUGGCCUGGUUUUAUGAUUUCGAUUGCCCUCUUGGUUGAAAGUUUCUAAUGUAUGUUUAUUUUGAUUUUCAAAUUUACAAGGAAGAAUAUUUGAUUAAAUGUUAAUUUUCAAGGGGUUUUUAUUUUCCCUUCACAUCUAGGGUUUAUGGAUCCCACAAAAAAUGUGAAAAUCUUAAGUUAAAAUCCGCACACAAGAAUUUCUUUUAAAUCUAAAUCUUUGAAAUUUUCUUGAUAUUAUAGUAAGAAGAUGCCUAAGUGAAUAUGGAUGGCAGUCUUCCAAGUCUUUCUUUGUGGUGUUUUCGGAUAAGUUUUAAAUUUUAUUAAUCUCUAAAUGACUCAUUAAAUUGGGAUAGGGUUUUUUGAGAUAAAAGAUGAACAAUAUUUGCCUUUUUUUUAAUUGCUUUAUGUGAAACGUAUUGAACUACAUAUAUUUGUCCAGCAUUGAUAAAAGCUUUUAUUGACCAAGAUUAUGGACUUAAUUUAAUAACUUAGAGAAAUAAUCAGUACAAUUUUCCUAUUGCAAAGGAUCAUUCGACCAAAAUCUUUACUUAAAAAGUAUGGCAAUGACUUUUGCAACUUUUGCUUCAGCCUUGACCAAUCUUAUUCUCGCACUGAAUAUAUUUUCUUAACUUCAAAUGUGGAUUAAUGGUCAACAUCCGAGAUCUCUUCCUUCAGAAGACCUAAUCAAGCUUAUUGGUGAGCAAUAGAGGAGCACUGGCAUCCCGGUUGAAUCGGGGGAGAACUUUGUCGAAGUAAGAGCUUUCUCUUCCAUCUUCUUUUGCACUAUAUUGUGAGUUAUAUUUUCAUGAAAAAUCUUUUUUGCAUUAUUGUAGCUGGAUUUUUUUUUAUUCUUUUGUUCACAUAUUUAGCUGACAUAUCAGACAGCUUGAAGUUUUUAAGCGAGUUAUCGAUUGCUUUGAGCUUUUAUAAUGGUAUUUUAUCCCCUUCUUGAGAUGUUGGUCAUUUGACAAAGAGACUUAUCAAAUUGAAGUGAUUAUUCACAUCUCUUAGCUGAGUAUUUGAUUUUCUUAAUCACAUUGGUUGGUGAACUUUAGAAUUUACGUAUAGUUUUUGUUGUAUUAUGAAUUCAUAUGUACAGGAGAUCGUUCAACUGCUAAAGGAUGGGGUUUAGUUGAUAAUGGAUGUGGAGACGGCUUUUUAUAACUCGCUGUCUUAUCCUUUAUACGCAACAUUGAUGAGUUAAUUUUGAACUUCUUAAACUCGCACAUACUUGUCAUUAUCAACAAUUAAAAAUAAUUAGGCGCUCUUUGCUUUAGUGCAUUAUAUAUUUACCGAGCAGGGACUCUUAACUCAUUCCUCUCUCUCACGCACACAGAGACACUUCUGAUAGAAACUUUUCCAUUCAAUAGCAAAAUUUAUGCUUGUUAGUUUUCUAAUAGUUUUAUAAUUUGUAGGAAACUUUCACAUAAGCACAAACUAUUUUAAGCAUGACAUGGAAGUUUUAAUCGGAGAUGACCAAUUUUUAAUUUUUCCUAAGUUAUUUCAUAUCAUCUUAUGAAACUUCAAAUGCUCUCUUUAUCUACACGGACACAACGAUUUGCAUACUUGUGCAUUUAUGUUUUCUCGACCAAUAGCAUAGAUGUGACUAGAAUAAGUGUUCUUUCGAUAUUUGACCCUCACAUAUACAUUCAGAUGUGUGCUAACACAUGUCUGCACCAUUAAUAUGCUUUUAUGCCUUUUAAGUUCUGGAGUCUGAUUACAUUAAAUAAUGACCUUUUGUGUACUCGCAUUGUCUAUCUAUAUUAUUGCUUUUAGGAUUCUUGUGACGAUGGCAGUUGAGGCUCAAGAGGUUCAAGGCCCAAUGCACCAUGUCGUAUGUGGCGACUGCUAUUGGGACCUUGAUUCUGAUAUCUGUUCUUGGUUGUUUUAUCGACUAUUCAGGGCCGGAGACAAAAUCUGUUAAUACCUAUUGAUUACUUAUUUCUUUUGAGUUUUUUCCUAUUCUUUUGUUUAAAAAUUGAUUAGGGGUUUACGAAGUAAUUGAUGAUGAUUGUUCUAUUAGAUAUCGGUAAGAAGGCAUUUUUCGCAGCUACUGUGAGUUAAGUACUUGAUCGAUCAUUUUGGUGAUAUUUUCAAUCUAUUUAUUGAGCGCAAUUUUCUUUUCUUUUUUUUUAUUUUUGUGAUUAUAUAUUGAUGUUUUUUCUACUUCACUUCUUUUUUUAUGGGAAUUAUUGCUGUCUGUCUAUAAUUUACUUGCAUGCAAAUUAUAUAGAAAUUUUUAGCUGAAGUAAAUUGGAAUUAUAGUUUUCUUUUAAUUGUUAUGUCAAAAACAAAGUAAGGAUUUUCUAAUCAGAAAUUUAUUUGUUCUUUUUUCAUUGAAAGUAGAUAGAACUUGCUACUCUGAAAUGAUCUUGUUUGUCAUGUAAUGAUGGUUAAUUAUGUCUUGUGCUUGUUAUUUGGAAGAAUCUAUUAGAUUUAUUAGGUUUGAAUUUGAUGAUAUGAGGAUGUGAUAUUGAUAAAUAUUUUGGAUAUAUGCCCUGUUGCUGGUCGAAUAUGAAAUGCCACGUGGAGGCACCGUGAUAAUUCACUAAUUCAGUUGAGGCUCUCAAGGGAGCCAGCUGAGGUGCCUACCAAGCCAAGCCGAGGCUCUCCAAGAAAUAAGACGAGGUGCCUCCAAAGAUGGCCGAAGUUCCUGCCGAGGUGCCUAUCAAGAUGGUUGAAGUGCCUUCAAGGAUGUCCACCGAGACCCUAAGUGGUCCAACCCAGGCUCUCAAGAGGCAAUCGAGGUGCCUUCAAAGAUACCGUUGAGGCCCUAAGAGGUCCCGUUGAAGUGCUUGCGGAGGUAUCCAUAACAAUGCAUAUAAAAACUCCUGAUGUAGGGUUUGGACUUAGGCCCAUUAAAGUACUUGGCCCAUUUCAUUUGUCUAUAUAUAUGAGAAUUCACUCCAUUUCCAGGUGUAAACGGAACGUGGCCGAACACUUGUUGGCCAUUUCUCGAGGUCAACAUGCGUCUUAGAUUUGAUAUUAUUCAUGCCUCUUAAUUUAGUGAUUUGGCUAACGUUCUUGGGUCAGUUAAAAGGGUUAAUUUAUGGCGUCGAAAUAAAUAUUGAAAGAACUCAAGGAUUUGCAUUAGGGUCCUACAUUAUGCAGUGCGGGUUUUCAUUUCAUCUUUUAUGUGCUUAAAGUGGACUAUUUUGUUUGUUUUUUAUGAAUGAUUUUAAUGUACAGUAUCAUUAGAACAUCCUGGAAAGAUAUUCGAUGUAAUUUAUAGAGUUAGGUGAUCAUUUGUUAUUCUUUUUGACUCUAUAAUGGAAGUUUCCGUUGUAUUGUGGUUUUAAUACUAA